rnacentral:rRNA from 1 species
CCUACGGGAGGCAGCAGUGAGGAAUAUUGGUCAAUGGGCGCGAGCCUGAACCAGCCAAGUCGCGUGAGGGAGGACGGCCCUACGGGUUGUAAACCUCUUUUGCCGGGGAGCAACGGGCGUCACGUGUGGCGCCACUGAGAGUACCCGGAGAAAAAGCAUCGGCUAACUCCGUGCCAGCAGCCGCGGUAAUACGGAGGAUGCGAGCGUUAUCCGGAUUCAUUGGGUUUAAGGGGUGCGCAGGCGGGCCUUUAAGCCGGCGGUGAAAUCGCGGGGCUCAACCCCGCCGAGCCGUCGGAACUGGGGGACUUGAGUGCGGAGGAGGCAUGCGGAAUGCGCGGUGUAGCGGUGAAAUGCAUAGAUAUCGCGCAGAACCCCGAUUGCGAAGGCAGCGUGCCGUGCCGCCACUGACGCUGAGGCACGAAAGCGCGGGGAUCGAACAGGAUUAGAUACCCUAGUAGUC